rnacentral:rRNA from 1 species
CCUAAAUAAUCACAGGCAAUUGUGACUGAUAGAAACCAGCUCAGAUCAGUUUGAAAUUAGGAAGGCCAAGAAUUCGCUGAACAAUAGGAACAAGGUUUAUCAAGGGAUAUCACAACCGUGUAGAAGUUGGGUAUUUAAGGUAUUCAAAUAAAGAAAAAGAUUCAGGUAAGUAUGUAAAUGCUUUGUUUUGAUCAGUUUUAUAACUAUAAAAAAUGACCUUACUAACAAAAUGAUACAAAAUCCAGAUAAAGUAUUGGAAGUAAAAGUCGUAACAAGGUCUCCGUUGGUGAACCAGCGGAGGGAUCAUUACCGAGUUUACAACUCCCAAACCCAAUGUGAACGUUACCAAACUGUUGCCUCGGCGGGAUCUCUGCCCCGGGUGCGUAGCAGCCCCGGACCAAGGCGCCCGCCGGAGGACCAACCAAAACUCUUAUUGUAUACCCCCUCGCGAGUUUUUUUAUAAUAUGAGCCUUCUCGGCGCCUCUCGUAGGCGUUUCGAAAAUGAAUCAAAACUUUCAACAACGGAUCUCUUGGUUCUGGAAUAGAUGAAGAACGCAGAGAAAUGCGAUAAGUAAUGUGAAUUGCAGAAUUCAGUGAAUCAUCGAAUCUUUGAACGCACAUUGCGCCCGCCAGUAUUCUGGCGGGCAUGCCUGUCCGAGCGUCAUUUCAACCCUCGAACCCCUCCGGGGGGUCGGCGUUGGGGAUCGGCCCUGCCUUGGCGGUGGCCGUCUCCGAAAUACAGUGGCGGUCUCGCCGCAGCCUCUCCUGCGCUGUAGUUUGCACACUCGCAUCGGGAGCGCGGCGCGUCCACUGUGGAAGUAAAAGUAGAACAAGGCAUUCAAUCGCGUCUCCGCUGCCGCGCUAUGGAUUGAAGGCCAAGGCGG